rnacentral:rRNA from 1 species
CGCGGUAAUUUGACCGUGCGAAGGUAGCAUAAUCAAUAGUCUUUUAAUUGGAGGCUUGAAUGAAUGGUUGGACGAGGGAUAAGCUGUCUCUUUUGGCGUAUGUUGAAUUUGACUUUUAAGUGAAAAGGCUUAAAUUAAUUAGAGGGACGAUAAGACCCUAUAAAACUUAAUACAAAUUUGGCUUGGUUUGUGAUUUGUGUGAAAAGUAGUCUUGUUUAGUUUGUAUUUCGUUGGGGCGACGAAGAUAUAAAAUGUAACUGUCUUUAAAAUUUAAUAGUGUUAGUUAGUAUUUGAUCCUUCUUUGUGGAUUAAAAGAAUAAGUUACUUUAGGGAUAACAGCGUAAUUUUUUUUGAGAGUUCUUAUCGACAAAAGUAGUUGCGACCUCGAUGUUGAAUUAAAGUUUCAGUUAGGUGUAGCCGUUUAACUGGUAAGUCUGUUCGACUUUUAAAACUUU